UAUUACCUACGGGACGCAGCAGUAGGGAAUCUUCCACAAUGGACGAAAGUCCGAUGGAGCAACGCCGCGUGGGUGAAGAAGGUCUUCGGAUCGUAAAACCCUGUUGUUAGAGAAGAAAGUGCGUGAGAGUAACUGUUCACGUUUCGACGGUAUCUAACCAGAAAGCCACGGCUAACUACGUGCCAGCAGCCGCGGUAAUACGUAGGUGGCAAGCGUUAUCCGGAUUUAUUGGGCGUAAAGGGAACGCAGGCGGUCUUUUAAGUCUGAUGUGAAAGACUUCGGCUUAACCGGAGUAGUGCGUUGGA
rnacentral:rRNA from 1 species